rnacentral:rRNA from 1 species
UACAGCGGGUGCAAACGUUGCUCGGAAUCAUUGGGCGUAAAGCGCACGUAGGCGGUCUUGUAAGUCAGGAGUGAAAGCCCUCGGCUUAACCGGGGAAGUGCUUUUGAAACUGCAAGACUUGAAUACUGGAGAGGAUCGCGGAAUUCCCGGUGUAGAGGUGAAAUUCGUAGAUAUCGGGAGGAACACCAGUGGCGAAGGCGGCGAUCUGGACAGAUAUUGACGCUGAGGUGCGAAAGCGUGGGGAGCAAACAGG